UAAGAUGUACCCUUUUGCUUCUUGGGCAUCCUGUAACCACCAACGACGCAGGCAUGGUCACGCUCGAAAGGCUCCAGCGUCACCUGCUCAGAGGGCUUGAACUGAUCUGCCUUCAGCUUCUCAACUUCACUAGCAAACACAGCCUCAGCUGGCAUGGUGGAGUCGAUACAAUUCGCCUUACCUUGAUUGAAAUGACAAAAUGUCCACCAUUCUUCAGGAAGUAGGAUGCAUUGAGGGCUAAGAUCCUAGCCUGCUCUGGCUGGGCAACAUCAGAGAAGAUAACAUCAACCAUGCCAACCAACAUCCGGUACCUCGCCGGGUGCCUAGCAUCUUCAAUGAUGGGAAUUACAUUGGUCCUCUUUUUGGCCAUGUUGACAAGAUCCCUACCACUCCUGUGCGAGAACUCAACAGCAUAGACCAAACC
rnacentral:sRNA from 1 species